AGGAAACACCAAUUACAGCUAUAAUAUUCCGGGAGUUUAUUCAUUUUACAAUGGAUAUUGAUCGUAAUAUUUAUUGUAUAUGAUAUUACUCGCCAAAAGAAAAUUAAUUAUCCGCCGGCCGGGUGGGGAAUUCCGGGACCAGGCCGCCGCCAUUAGGGGAGUCCCAAAUGGUGACGUCACUGGGUGGGUCUUCGCUCCGGGUAUCCAUACCGGAAGUCAACACAACGUAGCAGAUAUGGCAGCGAUGGAGGAAUUUUGCAAUGAGAUCGACGUUUUGAACGAUGAAUUUGACUAUUCGUCGGGAGAUUACAUUGAUGUGGAAGCUUCUACAGUUACCAGGCAUCCCAUGGCCUAUGCUUAUGAACCGAUUCGGUCGAAUACUAGAGUGGCAUACGAUCCGGAAUCCGCCGAAAGUACCGACGGUUCUGAACUCGCCGAGUGGGAUACCAACAGUUCCAGUACCGACUCGGUCUCAGUGUUCACAAACUGAACCCACAGACGUCUCCAGUACAGAGUCCCGUGGACGGAUAAAUGGGGCACGACUGUAACUGCUACCAGACCCCACGAGGGAAUAUUAUCAGGAAGGACAACAUCUCUAUCAACACGGCAGAUAUACGGAAAAGGGGGGGAGAAUCAUCCUUCAUUCAUCAUGUGCAUAUUUAGGUUUUAGGUCAAAUGUAAUAUUAAAAAUAUGCCACAGAAGCCCUCAUAACUCUUGGAACCUUGA